rnacentral:misc_RNA from 1 species
AAUCACAAUUGCAUGAGAUUUGUGCAGCCAACAAUUGGAAACCCCCUUUAUUUGAAUGUUGCAAAGAGGAAGGACCUUCCCACCUGAGAUUGUUCACUUUUAAGGUUUCAAUGGAGAUUGAAGGGGCAGCACCAUCAGCAUCUAUCUUGCAGUGUUUUGGUGCCCCUAGGCCCAAAAAGAAGGCUGCAGCAGAGCAUGCAGCUGAAG